GACAGAGGGUGCGAGCGUUAAUCGGAAUUAUUGGGCGUAAAGCGCACGUAGGUGGAUAGGUAAGUUGGAUGUGAAAUCCCUGGGCUCAACCCGGGAAUUGCAUUCAAUACUGCCAAUCUAGAGUACAGUAGAGGGAAGUGGAAUUUCCGGUGUAGCGGUGAAAUGCGUAGAUAUCGGAAAGAACAUCAGUGGCGAAGGCGACUUCCUGGACUGAUACUGACACUGAGGUGCGAAAGCGUGGGGAGCAAACAGG
rnacentral:rRNA from 1 species